rnacentral:rRNA from 1 species
AACGAACGCUGGCGGCAUGCCUAACACAUGCAAGUCGAACGAGACCUUCGGGUCUAGUGGCGCACGGGUGCGUAACGCGUGGGAACCUGCCCUUAGGUUCGGAAUAACUCCCCGAAAGGGGUGCUAAUACCGGAUAAUGUCUUCGGACCAAAGAUUUAUCGCCUUUGGAUGGGCCCGCGUUGGAUUAGCUAGUUGGUAGGGUAAAAGCCUACCAAGGCGACGAUCCAUAGCUGGUCUGAGAGGAUGAUCAGCCAUACUGGGACUGAGACACGGCCCAGACUCCUACGGGAGGCAGCAGUGGGGAAUAUUGGACAAUGGGCGAAAGCCUGAUCCAGCAAUGCCGCGUGAGUGAUGAAGGCCUUAGGGUUGUAAAGCUCUUUUACCCGGGAUGAUAAUGACAGUACCGGGAGAAUAAGCUCCGGCUAACUCCGU